rnacentral:rRNA from 1 species
GACGAACGCUGGCGGCGUGCCUAAUACAUGCAAGUUGAGCGCUGAAGGUUGGUACUUGUACCGACUGGAUGAGCAGCGAACGGGUGAGUAACGCGUGGGGAAUCUGCCUUUGAGCGGGGGACAACAUUUGGAAACGAAUGCUAAUACCGCAUAAAAACUUUAAACACAAGUUUUAAGUUUGAAAGAUGCAAUUGCAUCACUCAAAGAUGAUCCCGCGUUGUAUUAGCUAGUUGGUGAGGUAAAGGCUCACCAAGGCGAUGAUACAUAGCCGACCUGAGAGGGUGAUCGGCCACAUUGGGACUGAGACACGGCCCAAACUCCUACGGGAGGCAGCAGUAGGGAAUCUUCGGCAAUGGACGAAAGUCUGACCGAGCAACGCCGCGUGGGUGAAGAAGGGUUUCGGAUCGUAAAACUCUGUUGGUAGAGAAGAACGUUGGUGAGAGUGGAAAGCUCAUCAAGUGACGGUAACUACCCAGAAAGGGACGGCUAACUACGUG